UGGCAGGGUAGGAAAGAAAGAAUGGUAAGGAUUCAGGGUCCUUUUACUAGGCUUAACUAGUUAUGACUUCUUUCUCAUUGACCUCCCCAGAGCAAUAAGGAUGAAGGAAUCUGUGCUGCUGAUAAGGACCUCCUCUCCUCCUCUCUCUAAACAAAGGGGAAGAGGAUGAUCAAUCUGACCACUGAAAAUAGUGUGACCAUUUGGAUACAAUCUUUGGAGUAUAGUUUCCAUCUUUUGGCCACAAGCCAUGCCAUUAGGCCUUUUUGAAAAGGAUGAACAAAAAUGAACAACUACUACAAAAAGUACUACUAUAAAUAUUUUGGUGUAUAUGGGAUCUUUCUUCCUAUUUUUGAUGUCCAUGUGAUGUAUGCCUAACAGAGGGAUCUCUGAGUCAAGAGGUUGUGAGCAUUCAUUUCCGGAUCUCAAAGAACCAGCCAUGGAUAGCUCCAGGAUGAGGCCAGAAGCUCUCCCAAGCACAGAGGCUCCUGGAGCAAAGGCCUGUAUGCAUGCCCAAGGAAGGCCUUCUCAAAACUCAGGACCAGAGAAGGGUUCUGAUUCUGUUUUCAAUAGUCUACAUGCAGCAAUCAGGAAAAGAAAAAGAACGCUCCCAACAGAUCAAAGUCAGAACAUCUUAAAAUGGAAAUGAACAUUUAAAAGAGGCCUUUCUCAAGGGAAGCCUUGGCAGUAAAUCAGAGCUUUUGAGAGGCAACUGGGGCCUGUGCUGAUUUUUGAAUAACUCAUCGUUUAAUAAAUGUUCUUUUUUUGUGGCCCUUUGGGGAAAA
rnacentral:lncRNA from 1 species